AGCGAACGCUGGCGGCGUGCCUAACACAUGCAAGUCGAACGUGAAAAGGGAAACCUGAGUACAGUGGCGUACGGGUGAGUAACGCGUAGGUAAUCUACCCCAGAAUCUGGAAUAACCUGCCGAAAGGCGGGCUAAUACUGGAUAGAGCGAGGGAACUCGUAAGAGAGUUUUUCGGGAAAGGGAGCCCGCAAGGGCCUUCGUUCUGGGAUGAGCCUGCGUCUCAUUAGCUAGUUGGUAAGGUAACGGCUUACCAAGGCGAUGAUGAGUAGCUGGUCUGAGAGGAUGAUCAGCCACACUGGAACUGAAACACGGUCCAGACUCCUACGGGAGGCAGCAGUGGGGAAUCUUGCGCAAUGGACGAAAGUCUGACGCAGCCACGCCGCGUGAGUGAAGAAGGCCUUCGGGUUGUAAAGCUCUGUCGGAUGGGACGAACAUCUUCAUAGUGAAUAGCUAUGAGGACUGACGGUACCAGCAAAGGAAGCACCGGCUAACUCCGUG
rnacentral:rRNA from 1 species